GAUGAGGAGCCCAAGGCUCAGAGGAGUUGAAUCCCUUGCACAAGGAUGCCAGGCUAGUGACUGGCAGAAGCAGGACUUAGGCCUGGCAAUGGGACUUGGUGUGUGCUCAGUGGAGGCUCAGAGAGGUUGUGAAAUUUGGCCAAGGUCACACAGCCAGUCUAUGUGAGAAGAAAGGGAUUGGACCCUUAGCUGUCUGACUCCAAUCACCUGCUGUGCCCUCAGCUUUUUCUGGUGUGCAGAUAGAGGGUGGGACUGGCAUUGCUUGGGACAGUCCCUAACCUGGGACAGGUAAGUAAAAAUACUAAAUAAUAAAUGCUCUGGCACGCCAGCCAGGACUUGCCCCAGAGCCCAGGCGGGGGGAAUCGGACCCUUCCCUGGGUAUCAUGUGGGAAACAGGCCACUUCUGGCCACUUAUUGUUUACUUAUUCACAGCCUUUGAUGAUAUCACACUUGCACACCUCCGCAGGGCACCCGGUGGAGAGGAUGAGUGAAACAGCCUGUGGGCGGCAGAACCUGGAAGAACAGAGAACGACAAGCCUGUGCAGCCUUGGACUGUUUUGCUCUCAACAAGAAGAAAUCGACAA
rnacentral:lncRNA from 10 species